rnacentral:lncRNA from 1 species
AAACAAGCUGUGCUGCCCCGCAGGUGCAUCUUGGUGAGAUAUCAGCCCUGAGGUCUGGGCUGACCAUGGGCUCAAUAUUAUUAUCAAUAUUCCAGACACUGUUAUCAUGAAUAUUAUAGAAGGGCAAAGGGAGCCCAGAUCAGGAAAUAGGUUAACCCUCUAGAAGAAACAAUAAAAGGAAUCUCCCAGAAUGGGUAAGGUAGUGAGCCAUCUGCUGGGAGCAAGAUGUCAGUCUCUGAAAACACCGGGAGCCACGGACCUAAGUCCAUCAGGGAAUCAGGCUGUGACUGCAACAUAGAAGCCAGGGCUGCGUCAAGUGUAUCGUCCCGUGAAACAUAAACAAAGGCCAAGUUGAGCAAGGAGGGCCCAAGGAUUUGGUUUUUGUGUAGAAGACAGACACGGACUCCCGUGGAGAAGAGGCAUUUUGGAGUGCCUGUCCUCAGUGGUAGGUCACAUCUUUCCGCGGCCUAGACAAACAUUGUUAGAGCCAGGUGCAGUGGCUUUCCCAUGUAAUCUCAGCAACUUGGGAGGCUGAGAUGGGAGGAUUGCUUCAGCUCAGGAGUUGAAGGCUUCAGUGGGCUGUGAUGGUGACACUGCACGCCAGCCUGGGUGACACAGCAAGACCCUGACUGAAAAAAAAACAAAAAACAAAAAAACCCACCUCUAAGCCUGUCUAGGUCACCAGACACCUGGCUGGCACGCAUGGUAUUCCCACCACUGGCUAGUAUGUCCCAGUGGUGGAUAUAACCCAGAAUUCUCUCCAGACGC